GAUGAACGCUGGCGGCGUGCCUAAUACAUGCAAGUCGAGCGAACGGACGAGAAGCUUGCUUCUCUGAUGUUAGCGGCGGACGGGUGAGUAACACGUGGAUAACCUACCUAUAAGACUGGGAUAACUUCGGGAAACCGUAGCUAAUACCGGAUAAUAUUUUGAACCUCAUGGUUCAAAAGUGAAAGACGGUCUUGCUGUCACUUAUAGAUGGAUCCGCGCUGCAUUAGCUAGUUGGUAAGGUAACGGCUUACCAAGGCAACGAUGCAUAGCCGACCUGAGAGGGUGAUCGGCAACACUGGAACUGAGACACGGUCCAGACUCCUACGGGAGGCAGCAGUAGGGAAUCUUCCGCAAUGGGCGAAAGCCUGACGGAGCAAAGCCGCGUGAGUGAUGAAGGUCUUCGGAUCGUAAAACUCUGUUAUUAGGGAAGAACAUAUGUGUAAGUACCUGUGCACAUCUUGACGGUACCUAAUCAGAAAGCCACGGCUAACUACGUG
rnacentral:rRNA from 1 species